rnacentral:rRNA from 1 species
AGACGUAGGAGGCGAGCGUUAUCCGGAUUUACUGGGCGUAAAGGGCGUGUAGGCGGUUCUUUAAGUCUAUGGUGAAAUCUCUCGGCUUAACUGGGAGGGUGCCACAGAAACUGAGGAACUUGAGGACAGCAUAGGGGAGCGGAAUUCCCGGUGUAGUGGUGAUAUGCGUAGAUAUCGGGAGGAACACCAGUGGCGAAAGCGGCUCUCUGGGCUGCACCUGACGCUGAGGCGCGAAAGCGUGGGGAGCAAACAGGAUUAGAUACCCUGGUAGUCCACGCCGCAAACGAUGGAUACUAGGUAUGGGGGGUAUCGACCCCCUCCGUGCCGAAGCUAACGCUUUAAGUAUCCCGCCUGGGGACUACGGCCGCAAGGCUAAA